rnacentral:lncRNA from 1 species
AAAUAUUGAAACUUACCAGACUGAAACAUCACCGCCAAACCAACCAAGAGUAGUGCAGCGACCAUUACACAGACGCGCAACGCAAAGCCAUUUCUAAGCACUGCAUUCUUCUUAGAUAACUCACACACCACCUUUUGUAGCUUCAUCAGCUUCUGGUCACACUCAAAUGCUUGCUCCUUCACCAGCCUAAGCUGUGUCUGAACGUCUCUGAGCUCCUCCGUAACAGCUACAUCCCACCACUUCCAGAUGUGGCAGUCCCCAUCGUUUACAUUCUCGCA